rnacentral:tRNA from 1 species
UCCCUGCUGGUCCAAUGGUUAAGACUCUGAGCUUCCAAUUCAGGCGCCCAGGUUCCAUCCCUGGUUGGGGAC